GCGGCUUUAGCUCAGAUGGGAGAGCGCCAGAAUGAAGUCAACUUUAGAUAUUGACAUCUGGAAGCCCUGUGUUCGAUCCACAGAAGCCGCA